AGAUAUUCAGUAUGGAGUUCUUGUUUAUGGCGUCACCCAAGGAUCACCUGCCCACAGAAGUGGCUUGAAACCUGGUGAUAUUAUUACACACAUUGAUAAGCAAGAGAUCAAAUCGUCAAAGGAAGUAUAUAGUGCUGUGAAGAGUGAAAAUCAGUUAAGGAUCUCGGUCGUUCGAGGUCAAAAGAUCAUGCAAUUAACAGUUACGCCUGAAAUUAUUUAAAUGAGAAAGUGCAGCAAUGCCCAUAAAUAUAAGGUGAAGCAAAUGGCGCAAUCUAUUGUUAAACUUCUUGUUUUAGUAUUCUAAAUAUAUUAGAAGAAUAUCAAUUCACAUUGAAGCAAUAUUUGAAUAAACUUGUUCUGUAUUUCUGUAA